CUUGACAUCCCGAUGCUAUUCUAGAGAUAGAAAGUUACUUCGGUACAUCGGUGACAGGUGGUGCAUGGUUGUCGUCAGCCCGUGUCGUGAGAUGUUGGGUUAAGUCCCGCAACGAGCGCAACCCCUAUUGUUAGUUGCCAUCAUUCAGUUGGGCACUCUAGCGAGACUGCCGGUAAUAAACCGGAGGAAGGUGGGAUGACGUCAAAUCAUCAUGCCCCUUAUGACCUGGGCUACACACGUGCUACAAUGGUUGGUACAACGAGUUGCGAGUCGGUGACGGCGAGCUAAUACUCUUAAAGCCAAUCUCAGUUCGGAUUGUAGGCUGCAACUCGCCUACAUGAAGUCGGAAUCGCUAGUAAUCGCGGAUCGGCACGCCGCGGUGAAUACGUUCUCGGGCCUU
rnacentral:rRNA from 1 species